rnacentral:rRNA from 1 species
GAUGAACGCUAGCUACAGGCUUAACACAUGCAAGUCGAGGGGAAACGGCAUUGAGUGCUUGCACUCUUUGGACGUCGACCGGCGCACGGGUGAGUAACGCGUAUCCAACCUUCCCAUUACUGUGGGAUAACCUGCCGAAAGGCAGACUAAUACCGCAUAGUCUUCGAUGACGGCAUCAGAUUUGAAGUAAAGAUUUAUCGGUAAUGGAUGGGGAUGCGUCUGAUUAGCUUGUUGGCGGGGUAACGGCCCACCAAGGCAACGAUCAGUAGGGGUUCUGAGAGGAAGGUCCCCCACAUUGGAACUGAGACACGGUCCAAACUCCUACGGGAGGCAGCAGUGAGGAAUAUUGGUCAAUGGACGGAAGUCUGAACCAGCCAAGUAGCGUGCAGGAUGACGGCCCUAUGGGUUGUAAACUGCUUUUGUAUGGGGAUAAAGUUGGGGACGUGUCCCUAUUUGCAGGUACCAUACGAAUAAGGACCGGCUAAUUCCGUGCCAGCAGCCGCGGUAAUACGGAAGGUCCAGGCGUUAUCCGGAUUUAUUGGGUUUAAAGGGAGCGUAGGCUGGAGAUUAAGUGUGUUGUGAAAUGUAGACGCUCAACGUCUGAAUUGCAGCGCAUACUGGUUUCCUUGAGUACGCACAACGUUGGCGGAAUUCGUCGUGUAGCGGUGAAAUGCUUAGAUAUGACGAAGAACUCCGAUUGCGAAGGCAGCUGACGGGAGCGCAACUGACGCUUAAGCUCGAAGGUGCGGGUAUCAAACAGG